AUGCGGGGGCUGGGACCCACCAAGGACUGCAGCACUGAGGUGGUGACAUCACAUGCUGCACAGAAGCCCCUGAGAGGGUUGCGGCCCUCAGGGCUCACCUGACUGCCCCUGAAGCAGCCAGAGCCCACCAGACCCCCUCAGGGGACAGCGAUCCCCCGAGGCAUCCCGGGCCACCACCGGGCCACGGAGCAGCACUCCAGCCCCACUCCAGGGUCAUUUUUUGUCCUCUCCCAUCUGAGCAGUGUUACCAGGCCCCAGGGGGACCUGAGAAUCAGGGCCGGCCUGGGUGGGGUCCCAUGGAGUACUCCAGCGCAAUCAGGGGCUCCCUGCAGACAGGAGGGGCCUUCGCCCUGGAAGCCUGGACGCUGAGAUAGACUUGCUGAGCAGCACGCUGGCCGAGCUGAAGGGGGGUCGGGGUCAUGCGCCCCUGCGACCAGACCAACAGGCAGAGGAGCCCCCGCCACCUCCUGCCUCCCGCCCGGGCUCUCUGAAGCCGAACCCAGCCUCGCGCUCCCCGCGUCUCCCUAUGGGGGCCCCACUGCAGCCUCUUAUGCUGCCGCCAGCACCCCCUGGCCGGCCUUCCCCGUGCAAGCGAAGGUGGCACAGUCAGUGAGGGGCUGCGGCCCACCCAGGCGGGGAACCUCUCAGGCCUCUGGGCCCCUCCCGGGCCCCCACUUUCUGUCCCAGGCCACGGUGAAGUCUGGGGGCCUGGCUAUAGGAGCCAGAGAGCGCCAGGGCCAGGGGCCAAAGAGGAAGCUGCGGGGGUCUCUGGCCCCGCAGGAGGAGGAAGAGGACGCGAGCACGGCCCCAGGUGCCCCUGAGCCACCUCGGGAGGAUGAGCUUGUCAGGCUGUCGAAGAAGCAGGUGCACGACAUGAACCACCCGCCCAGCGGGGAGUACUUUGGCCGGUGUGGUGGCUGCGGAGAUGUGGUCGGGGAUGGGGCUGGGGUUGUGGCCCUCGAUUGCGUCUUUCAUGUGGGCUGUUUUGUGUGUUCUACAUGCCAGGCCCAGCUUCGGGGCCAGCAUUUCUACGCCAUGCAGAGAGGGCGUGUUGCCAGGGCUGCUACGUGGCCACCCGGGAGAAAUGUGCCACGUGCUCCCAGCCCACCCUGGACCGGAUCCUGCGGGCUAUGGGGAAGGACUACCACCCCAGCUGCUUCACCUACCUGGUGUGUCACCGCGGCCUCGACGGCACCCCCUUCACGGUGGACACUACCAGCCAGAUCCACUGCAUUGAGGACUUUCACAGGAAGUUUGCCCCAAGAUGCUGAGUGUGCGGUGGGGCCAUAAUGCCUGCGCCACAUCAGGAGGAGACUGAGAAUUGUUGCUCUGGAUCGAAGUUUUCACAUUGGCUGUUACAAGUGCGAAGAGUGUGGGCCACUGCUCUCCUCUGAGGGCGAGUGUCAGGGCUGCUACCCACUGGAUGGACACAUCCUGUGCAAGGCCUGCGGCUCCUGGUGCAUCCAGCUCUCAACCACCUUCACCACUGACUGCUGAGUCUUCCUAGAAGUCCCUGCUGGGUUCUCAGUUCCAGUUCCCAUCCAUCAAUCGAUCACCCUCCCUGACAUCCCCCUGUAUGACUUCCUCACCAAAUGCUGUCUCCUCUUUCUCCAAUCAAGAAAUAAUAAUCCCUCGAGUUUACAAA